GGAAGAACAGGGAGUCGGGCUGUAGCGCAGCGGGUUAAGCGCAGGUGGCGCAAAGCACAAGGACCAGCAUAAGGAUCCCGGUUCGAACCCCGGCUCCCCACCUGCAGGGGAGUCGCUUCACAGGCGGUGAAGCAGGUCUGCAGGUGUCUAUCUUUCUCUCCCCCCGUCUUCCCCUCCUCUCUCCAUUUCUCUCUGUCCUAUCCAACAACGACGACAAUAAUAACUACAACAAUAAAACAACAAGGACAACAAAAAGGAAUAAAUAA